rnacentral:tRNA from 1 species
GAUUGUGACUCAGUGGUAGAAUGCUUGCCUAGCAUGCAUGAGGCAGUGGGUUCAAUCCCCAGCACUGCA